GGUUUUAUGGUGUACAGAGCACAACAGAUUGCAAAUCUGGCAGAGGGCCUUAACCCUAAAACUU
rnacentral:tRNA from 1 species